rnacentral:lncRNA from 1 species
UGGUUAAGAGGACAACCAACCCAUAUGGCCUACAGCGACCUAUGCUCGAUAGAAGCUGUCGUCCUUAUUAACAGCUUAUCAUUUGGUCGUGAACAGUUUUAAGGACUAAUCGAUAAAUCCUCUCUUUAUCGAACUUAAGUAGUCCUAAGGACUUCAUCAUAACAAUGGAGUUCAUUAGAAGAUGAAAGCUUAUGAUGAAGAUGCCAAAUAUAUAUUUUAUUUAUUAACAAAUCAAUUACAAUACUUGGUUGCUCAACCGUCAACAGCUUGACGAUU